rnacentral:rRNA from 1 species
GACAGAGGUGCCAAGCGUUAGGCGGAAUCACUGGGCUUAAAGCGUGUGUAGGUGGAUGUCUAAGUACCUUGUGAAAUCCCAUGGCUCAACCAUGGAACUGCUCGGUAUACUGGACGUCUUGAGCCACUUAGGGGCUACCGGAACAAAUGGUGGAGCGGUGAAAUGCGUAGAUAUCAUUUGGAACGCCAAUGGUGAAAACAGGUAGCUGGGAGUGUGCUGACACUGAGACACGAAAGCCAGGGGAGCGAACGGG